UUCUUUUUGGAGAGUUUGAUCCUGGCUCAGGACGAACGCUGGCGGCGUGCCUAAUACAUGCAAGUCGAGC
rnacentral:rRNA from 1 species